AGUUUGAGUUGUGUCCAGAUUAUUCUAAACUUAAUAUUGCUGAAACUACUACUGUUGGGCAUAUUAUUGAUUUGGUGGCUGAAUCUGCUACUUCAUAUUGUAGGCAUUCCCAUAAUUCGGCCUUUGAGCAUUUCCCACAAACACCACAAACUUAGGAAUUGCAGCACACAUAGCCACUGAAUUUCUAUUGUUAUAAUAAACCUCACACCAA
rnacentral:lncRNA from 1 species